rnacentral:rRNA from 1 species
AUUGAACGCUGGCGGCAGGCCUAACACAUGCAAGUCGAGCGGAAACGAGUUAUCUGAACCUUCGGGGRACGAUAACGGCGUCGAGCGGCGGACGGGUGAGUAAUGCCUAGGAAAUUGCCCUGAUGUGGGGGAUAACCAUUGGAAACGAUGGCUAAUACCGCAUAAUGCCUACGGGCCAAAGAGGGGGACCUUCGGGCCUCUCGCGUCAGGAUAUGCCUAGGUGGGAUUAGCUAGUUGGUGAGGUAAUGGCUCACCAAGGCGACGAUCCCUAGCUGGUCUGAGAGGAUGAUCAGCCACACUGGAACUGAGACACGGUCCAGACUCCUACGGGAGGCAGCAGUGGGGAAUAUUGCACAAUGGGCGCAAGCCUGAUGCAGCCAUGCCGCGUGUGUGAAGAAGGCCUUCGGGUUGUAAAGCACUUUCAGUCGUGAGGAAGGUAGUGUAGUUAAUAGCUGCAUUAUUUGACGUUAGCGACAGAAGAAGCACCGGCUAACUCCGUGCCAGCAGCCGCGGUAAUACGGAGGGUGCGAGCGUUAAUCGGAAUUACUGGGCGUAAAGCGCAUGCAGGUGGUUUGUUAAGUCAGAUGUGAAAGCCCGGGGCUCAACCUCGGAAUAGCAUUUGAAACUGGCAGACUAGAGUACUGUAGAGGGGGGUAGAAUUUCAGGUGUAGCGGUGAAAUGCGUAGAGAUCUGAAGGAAUACCGGUGGCGAAGGCGGCCCCCUGGACAGAUACUGACACUCAGAUGCGAAAGCGUGGGGAGCAAACAGGAUUAGAUACCCUGGUAGUCCACGCCGUAAACGAUGUCUACUUGGAGGUUGUGGCCUUGAGCCGUGGCUUUCGGAGCUAACGCGUUAAGUAGACCGCCUGGGGAGUACGGUCGCAAGAUUAAAACUCAAAUGAAUUGACGGGGGCCCGCACAAGCGGUGGAGCAUGUGGUUUAAUUCGAUGCAACGCGAAGAACCUUACCUACUCUUGACAUCCAGAGAACUUUCCAGAGAUGGAUUGGUGCCUUCGGGAACUCUGAGACAGGUGCUGCAUGGCUGUCGUCAGCUCGUGUUGUGAAAUGUUGGGUUAAGUCCCGCAACGAGCGCAACCCUUAUCCUUGUUUGCCAGCGAGUAAUGUCGGGAACUCCAGGGAGACUGCCGGUGAUAAACCGGAGGAAGGUGGGGACGACGUCAAGUCAUCAUGGCCCUUACGAGUAGGGCUACACACGUGCUACAAUGGCGCAUACAGAGGGCAGCAAGCUAGCGAUAGUGAGCGAAUCCCAAAAAGUGCGUCGUAGUCCGGAUUGGAGUCUGCAACUCGACUCCAUGAAGUCGGAAUCGCUAGUAAUCGUGGAUCAGAAUGCCACGGUGAAUACGUUCCCGGGCCUUGUACACACCGCCCGUCACACCAUGGGAGUGGGCUGCAAAAGAAGUAGGUAGUUUAACCUUCGGGAGGACGCUUACCACUUUGUGGUUCAUGACUGGGGUG